UGGGGGAUAUUGCACAAUGGGCGAAAGCCUGAUGCAGCAACGCCGCGUGAGGGAAGACGGUUUUCGGAUUGUAAACCUCUUUCUUCGGUGAAGAAAAAAAUGACGGUAGCCGAGGAGGAAGCCACGGCUAACUACGUGCCAGCAGCCGCGGUAAUACGUAGGUGGCGAGCGUUGUCCGGAAUUACUGGGUGUAAAGGGAGCGCAGGCGGGGAGACAAGUCAGCUGUGAAAACGAUGGGCUUAACCCAUAAACUGCAGUUGAAACUGUUUUUCUUGAGUGGGGUAGAGGUAGGCGGAAUUCCGAGUGUAGCGGUGAAAUGCGUAGAUAUUCGGAGGAACACCAGUGGCGAAGGCGGCCUACUGGGCUCUAACUGACGCUGAGGCUCGAAAGUGUGGGGAGCAAACA
rnacentral:rRNA from 1 species